GGGCUGCGUGGUACGAAGGACCUAUUCAGUGUCAGGUCCUAGGUCAAUAAUGCACAUUGACACCAACCAUAAAUUGAUUCGCUACAAUAUAGUCGUCUUCGGGGGUGUGGAUGGCUUUUCCCGCAAGAUAAUGUACCUUGGAGCUGCAUCUAAUAACCUUGCUACAGCCACCUUGGAUUUUUUUCAAGAAGCAGUGGAGACAUUUGGCUUCCCUCUCAGGGUAUGAGGAGAUCAGGGUGUCGAAAAUGUGGACGUGGCUCGCCUGAUGUUCACAGUUCAUGGGACAGAAAGGGGAAGCUUUAUUUCAGGAAAGAGCGUCCACAAUCAGCGUAUAGAGAGGUUGUGGAGAGACGUCUGGUCAUCAGUGACAAAUGUCUACUACGAUGUUCUACAUGCUUUGGAAGAAGGUGGCCACCUUGAUAUUUCUGACCUUACUCAUCUGUUCUGUUGCCACUAUGUAUUUCUCCCAUGGCUUCAAUAUGAUCUCAACCUUUUCCGAAACACCUGGGACAAUCACCCAAUACGCACAGAGGGUAAUAUGACUCCUAACCAGCUGUGGGUGAUGGGAAGUGUCCGCAACGCUGUACCUGAGCCUGAUAUAGAGGGAUUAAGCAUACCACAAAUAGACUGGGAGAGUAGUGGACUGGUGUUGAUGCACAUUCCAGUAUUGUUGUGCCUCAAACCGAAUGUCCCCUGACUGAUGACCAAAUGGAAGCACUCA